rnacentral:tRNA from 1 species
ACCUGGCUGGCUCAGUUGGUAGAGCAGGCGACUCUUGAUCUCGGGGUUGUAGGUUGGAGCCCCAUGUUGGGUA